CCUACGGGUGGCUGCAGUGGGGAAUUUUGGACAAUGGGCGCAAGCCUGAUCCAGCCAUUCCGCGUGAGUGAAGAAGGCCUUCGGGUUGUAAAGCUCUUUCGCAAGGGAAGAAAACUUAUCCUCUAACAUAGGAUGAGGUUGACGGUACCUUGAUAAGAAGCACCGGCUAACUACGUGCCAGCAGCCGCGGUAAUACGUAGGGUGCGAACUUGGCGCGGACUUACUGCAGGUAGUUUGGUAGGAGAGAUGUGAAAUCCCCGAGCUCAACUUGGGAACUGCGUUUGAAACUACAAGACUAGAAUAGGUCAGAGGGGGGUAGAAUUCCACGUGUAGCAGUGAAAUGCGUAGAGAUGUGGAGGAAUAUCAAUGGCGAAGGCAGCCCCCUGGGAUCAUAUUGACGCUCAUGCACGAAAGCGUGGGGAGCAAACAGGAUUAGAUACCCUAGUAGUC
rnacentral:rRNA from 1 species